rnacentral:rRNA from 1 species
UACGUAGGGUGCGAGCGUUGUCCGGAAUUAUUGGGCGUAAAGGGCUCGUAGGCGGUUUGUCGCGUCGGGAGUGAAAUCCACUGGCUUAACUGGUGGCUUGCUUUCGAUACGGGCAGACUGGAGGUAUGCAGGGGAGAACGGAAUUCCUGGUGUAGCGGUGAAAUGCGCAGAUAUCAGGAGGAACACCGGUGGCGAAGGCGGUUCUCUGGGCAUGUCCUGACGCUGAGGAGCGAAAAGUGUGGGGGAGCGAACAGG